GACGAACGCUGGCGGCGUGCCUAACACAUGCAAGUCGAGCGGAGAUAAUAGCAAUAUUAUCUUAGCGGCGGACGGGUGAGUAACGCGUGGGCAACCUGCCUUGGACUGGGGGAUAACACAGGGAAACUUGUGCUAAUACCGCAUAACAUAUCGAGAGGACAUCCUCUUGAUAUCAAAGGAGCAAUCCGGUCUUAGAUGGGCCCGCGUCGGAUUAGCUAGUUGGUGGUGUAAUGGACCACCAAGGCGACGAUCGGUAGCCGAACUGAGAGGUUGAUCGGCCACAUUGGGACUGAGACACGGCCCAGACUCCUACGGGAGGCAGCAGUGGGGAAUAUUGCGCAAUGGGGGAAACCCUGACGCAGCAACGCCGCGUGAAGGAUGAAGGUUUUCGGAUUGUAAACUUCUUUGAUUGGGGACGAAGAAAUGACGGUACCCAAAAAACAAGCCACGGCUAACUACGUGCCAGCAGCCGCAGUAA
rnacentral:rRNA from 1 species